GACGAACGCUGGCGGCGUGCUUAACACAUGCAAGUCGAACGGAAAGGCCCUGCUUUUGUGGGGUGCUCGAGUGGCGAACGGGUGAGUAACACGUGAGUAACCUGCCCUUGACUUUGGGAUAACUUCAGGAAACUGGGGCUAAUACCGGAUAGGAGCUCCUGCUGCAUGGUGGGGGUUGGAAAGUUUCGGCGGUUGGGGAUGGACUCGCGGCUUAUCAGCUUGUUGGGGGGGUAGUGGCUUACCAAGGCUUUGACGGGUAGCCGGCCUGGGAGGGUGACCGGCCACAUUGGGACUGAGAGACGGCCCAGACUCCUACGGGAGGCAGAAGGGGGGAAUAUUGCACAAUGGGCGGAAGCCUGAUGCAGCAACGCCGCGUGCGGGAUGACGGCCUUCGGGUUGUAAACCGCUUUCGCCUGUGACGAAGCGUGAGUGACGGUAAUGGGUAAAGAAGCACCGGCUAACUACGUG
rnacentral:rRNA from 1 species